GGCGCGGGGCAGCGGCCGUCGGCGCCGGGAGCGGGGCGCUGCAAGCAGGCACAGCUUCAUUCUGCGCCUUCACUGUCUCCUGCAUCCCCGGGACGUAUUCGUAUUAUGGGCUUUUCUACCAGUCAUAGUCGCAGUACUGCAAAAUCACAGUGUGUCACUUCAGCUAUUCUUCAUCUGACAGGCGUGCUAGCAAAAUCCUUUCUUUUUGUGUGACGGUAUUGCAAGAAUCUUUUCAACCAGGAAUAUCAAAGUGUAUCCCUGCAGCUGUUACCAGCCCACAGCUCCUACUCAUCCAUGGACUGCCUCGUUGCUAAAGCCCUCUUGUGUGUAGUCCAGAAACUGCAUCUGCACAGCUGGAUUGUCAGCUAGCUGUCAACUGCAUUAGAAUGUCUGCAACCACACUGGCUCCUUUAAGACCUUCUGCAGCCAUGAGCUAUUCCUGCUUUGCCUAAUGAUAUUAUCUAUGUGAAACAAGGUAAUUGCAUUUUUUAGAAAAUAAAUUAUAACAGCUCCAUUUGUCAUACAAUAUGCUCUUGUGUUUAAAACACCUCUGUAAUGGAGCAAAUCGCCUAACUGUUUAACUGCAAACUACAAACUUUGUCUGCACACCAGUAAAGUAUCUCUUACUACAAACUGGUAAGAUUUUGUGACAAAUAUCUGCCUUGUCUGCAUGUUGUUAGUGCUUUAUAGCAGUGGAGAAUAUGCCAGCAGAGAGAGACUGCAGUAAUAACUUAACUGGCAGAGUAUCACCACAGGAAGCAAAUAAUAUUCUGGUCUUUCACAGGAGCCAGACAAAAGGAAAACAAAUCUCUGAAGCAUUUUGUCAGAUAUUCACCCACAGACACUCCAAGGAGAGGUCUGAAUGGCUCACAGUGUUUUCCAUUUCAUUACCACUUAGACUGUAAAUACAGGGAAAGAUUGCUACACUCUCCUAAUAAUUCUUAGUCUUUAUAAAUAGAUGCAAAUAACAAGAAACAGAAAGACGUCUAAAAAUACAGACUUUGCAUUACAUUCCAAGUUUUUUCUAAGAGUAUUGAUUUUUUAAAAUCUUUCUUUGU